AAUAGAUACCCGGGUAGUCCACGCCGUAAACGAUGGGUACUAGGUGUAGGGGGUAUCGACUCCCCCUGUGCCGCCGUUAACACAAUAAGUACCCCGCCUGGGGAGUACGGUCGCAAGAUUAAAACUCAAAGGAAUUGACGGGGGCCCGCACAAGCAGCGGAGCAUGUGGUUUAAUUCGAAGCAACGCGAAGAACCUUACCUAGACUUGACAUCUCCUGCAUUACUCUUAAUCGAGGAAGUUCUCCCUUCGGGGAGGACAGGGAAGACAGGUGGUGCAUGGUUGUCGUCAGCUUGUGUCGUGAGAUGUUGGGUUAAGUCCCGCAACGAGCGCAACCCUUAUUGUUAGUUGCUACCAUUAAGUUGAGCACUCUAGCAAGACUGCCGUGGUUAACGCGGAGGAAGGUGGGGAUGACGUCAAAUCAUCAUGCCCCUUAUGUCUAGGGCUACACACGUGCUACAAUGGCGAGUACAAAGAGACGCAAAGCCGCGAGGUGGAGCAAAACUUAGUAAAACUCGUCUCAGUUCGGAUUGCAGGCUGAAACUCGCCUGC
rnacentral:rRNA from 1 species